GAUGAACGCUAGCGGCAGGCUUAACACAUGCAAGUCGAGGGGUAGAGGAAGCUUGCUUCCUUGAGACCGGCGCACGGGUGCGUAACGCGUAUGCAAUCUACCUUAUACAGGGGGAUAGCCCAGAGAAAUUUGGAUUAAUACCCCAUAGUGUAAUUGAAUGGCAUCAUUUGAUUAUUAAAGUUCCAACGGUAUAAGAUGAGCAUGCGUCCCAUUAGCUAGUUGGUGUGGUAACGGCACACCAAGGCGACGAUGGGUAGGGGUCCUGAGAGGGAGAUCCCCACACUGGUACUGAGACACGGACCAGACUCCUACGGGAGGCAGCAGUGAGGAAUAUUGGUCAAUGGGCGCAAGCCUGAACCAGCCAUGCCUCGUGCAGGAUGACGGUCCUAUGGAUUGUAAACUGCUUUUGUACAGGAAGAAACACUCCCUCGUGAGGGAGCUUGACGGUACUGUAAGAAUAAGGAUCGGCUAACUCCGUGCCAGCAGCCGCGG
rnacentral:rRNA from 1 species